AGCACGUAAUCGCCGGUGUAACUCAUGUUGGCUGGGGGGCCUCCCGGCGCGCGGCGAGGCUGGGUGCUACCCCGUGCCAAUUGCUUGUGCUCAGCUGCACGGUGCUGGCCUUUGAGUGCGCCGAGGGCGAUGAGAGAGCUCAACUGCCACCCACCUCUCCCCGGGAGGACCAAUAGCCAAGUUGAGCCCACCCGGCUCAAGAGAACACCCGAUGGGGUAUAAGUCCGCCCUGGAAGGCCAAGUGCGAGUUGUGUUUUGUUUUGUUUUUUUGAGGAGUCCAAGAUGGGCACGGCUGUGACAUUGCCCCUGGAGACUGAUUUCCCACGAGCUGUUCUUUCUCAGAAGCUCCACAGUGCAGGACCAUCUCCAGAAAACAGUCUUUAGCGUGUAUUUCCUUUUAUCGUCAACCCGGAGCCCAACGGCAGCUAUUGCGAGAGGCCAAAAAUGUUUUGGAGGAAGAAAAACAAAGGCAGGAAGUGGCGGCGGCCUGACGGUGCGUGUGUGUCUGCGGAGAAGGGAGGGAGCCAUUUCAAUCUCUUCUUGUUUUUCCAAACUUCAAGGUCUAGGCAGCCCUAGCAGGGCCGGCCCGUCGCUCCCGGUGCAGCAUUUGGAGAUGGCCACCCGGACAGGCGAAGGCUGGCGCCCGAGCCAGCCUCGUCAGGCGGAAACGGCUAACGAGGCGAUUUGCUCAGCAGAGUAAACCAAGUCUUUCCAAAUUUCAUUUGAUUUGGCCCUAAAAGUCAGGGGUUGGGGGAUUCUGCAACGCCUCCCAGACCUUCCUCGGCAGGCGGGCUGAGUGCGCCUUGCCGGGGAUUCCUAAGCUCUGCACUCCACUCCACGCCUCUUCCCAGGUGGGAUAUGGGAAUAAAGUGUGUCCAGGUGCAUCUACCCAGCA